UUUUCCUUCUCCCUCAUUUCUCUCCUCAUUUUCUUCUUAUCUUGUAUCAAACUUUGAGCAAAGAUUACUCCUUCAAUACUUGAAAUUUUUGCGUGUCGUUUGAGGCAAAACGGAGAGCACAGCAAUUUCUAUGGGUCAUGGCAAAGAGUUGACGGAUGACAAUCCACCACAAAAUUGACGGAGUAUUGGAAGCCAUUCAUUUUGCUAUUUUGUACUUAAGCUAUUCUUUUGUAUGUUUAUUGUUUUGGAAAUGUAACUAAGUUAGCAAUCAUGGCCCUUGUAACUUAAAUGAUGAAUUUUAUUCCUUAUUUGGUGUAAAUGAAACUAAUGUAAUCAUUGUGUAUAUCUCCAUGUAAUUGUAGCAAGUGAUGUUGUAAUAUGAUUAUAUGAAGGCGCAUUAGUUCAUGAUCAUUGAAUGUUUUAUAAUUGAUGGUUUAGUUCACGUUUGAAUCAUUCUAAAGUCCCCAUUUUAGUUUUCCUUUCAUUCCCAAAGUGCAGCACAUCAGUUCCAGCUUCAGGGCUCGAAGAAGCCACUUCGAUCGACCGAAUGGUGCAUCGGUCGACCGAACCCAUUAUUGGCUCUCAGGAUCUCUUGUUUCGGUUGACCGAAAUAGGGUUCGGUCGAUCGAACCAUCCUCUUGCUCUCAGGAUCUCACCUUUUGGUCGACCGAUGGAGGGUUUCGGUCAACUGGUUUUGGAGGGUCUGCUUCGGCCGACCGAAGCUCCACUUCGAUCGACCGAAGUGCACCUAUUUUGGUUGUUUUGCUCUUCCUCACUUGUUUCUCCACUCUCUCGACCCUUGGAGAAUUGUUUUGAGCCAACGUGAAAGCUUAGUUAUGAUCCUUUAUAUGUCGUCACACCUCUAGAAAUGAUGGGUUUGAUGUAGGUAAUCUCGGGUUCGGGUAAGGACCCAGCUAACGGUUCGGACUUUCGGGUUCGGGUUGUUACAGACUGGGCUGGAUUGGGCCAGCCCAACUUAUAGCCCUUCGUGAGAGAGAGAAAUGAGUUGAGUGUAAUAUAGAAUAGAUGUGUGUUAAGUGUAAAUUAUGUGAUGGGUGAAAUAUGUGUUGAAUAUGGGUAACCAUAUUCAACCCACCUUGACCUCAAAUUAAGUGAUUAAAAAUUAUCAACUCAUUUUUGACCCAUCUUAAAUAUGAUUCACCCAUAAUCAUUAAAAAACGGGCGAAUAUAAGUGGGUUGAUGAUUUCUGACCCAUUUUGCCAUCCUUAUGUCUAACUCAACUUUAAUGGCCAUUGAAGCUGCCAAGAAGGCUCCAUUAUCCAUUCCAUUGAUUAGCCUUUCAUUUUUAUGAUUACAACAAUUUGUGGUGACAUACGACUAUUGCAUCAAUCAUGGUCUAUUGUCGUGGGACUCAUCAAAACUGAUGACGUGCCACAACAAAGUGUUAUUUAUGGUCCCCUCCAACAAAUAGCAAUGCUCUUGCAUAAAUUGCAAAAAAAUGAAACAAGAUGAAAGCAAAUUUACCGAGUCAACAUCCAUGCAAUGGAUCAUCAAUCAAAAGAGUUAACAUUGACCUAAGGAGGGCUUCUUAUUGGAAUUAGUUUGGUAUUCAUGGAAGGUGGGCAAAUGAAGAAGAAUAUCUUAGAAUAGUCAGUGGAAUUUACAAAUUUGUGUACAAGCCCCAAUAUACCUUUUUUUUCAGCUAUAAUUGGACCUCCAAAAAAUUUGGAGGGGGGGGGAACAAAAAUCCUCUCUAACCAACGCCAGAGCUAUUCCGACCAAAUGAGUGUGUUUGUGUUUGUGUGCGUCAGUGUUGUUUUAGAGGGGGGAGGGGGUGGGGCAGAGGAGGCGAUGGAGGGGGAAGAGGAGGGAGAGGAUAGCAGCUAUUCAAAACCCUAAUUUAGGGUAAGACCAAGACCAGGGCCGUCGAAUUGGUGGACGAAUUUCCAUACGGAUCUGAUGGCGGGAGCUGUGAUGGGGGUGUGGUACACACGAUUGUGGCCCUAAUCGAGAGGGCAAAGCUUCUGUUGCAAACCCAAGAGAGCAAUAUAGCGAUUGUGUCUGGCCCACACAGGAGAUUCAAGGGAAUGUUUGAUUGUAUCGUUAGAACUCUCAAAGAAGAAGGCAUUCUCUCUAUGGAGAAGCAACUGUUGUAGUGUUAUUUGUUACUACCCCUCUGUUGCUCUCAAUUUCUCACUCAAGGUUUUUGAAAUUGCAAAAGGCCUAACAAUCAAAGGGAAAAUUACAGAUAUGGAAAGUCUGAAUCACUACUCACAGGUUCUCUAAAUUCUCAUAUUUGCUUCAUUCAUAUACUUUGAAGAUACCAAAAAUGGACUGGGCCGAGUACGACCCAUAUCACUUAAGACUGGAUGAGGAAAGAACACUUAGCCCGGUCAGAUGGCCACCCAUCAAGCCCAACAUGGAAAAGAGCGGGUGACCGAGAGGAGCCCAAAGAUCAGUCCAACAUGGAAGAUUAAAAAGGAAGCCUCUAAGAACAAUUGUAAAAGCCUAUAAAUAGAAUGAAAAGAGAGGAAAAAGUGGUUGAGAUAUUUUGAAGUGUAAAGACUUAUCUUUCCAAAUUGAAAGAGUUUGUUCAUUGCAUCUUCAUACUCAUUUGAAGUCUUAAUUUCUGGGUUGUUUUGUGUUUUAGUCCUUUUAGCCCUUUUUUCCUUGAUGUGAUCAGUUUAGCCUUUACUAUUUUUCUGGUACAAGUCUUUUUCUCCUUAAUUUGUAAUUCAAUUCUCAAUUCUAAGACUUAUAUGUCAA